rnacentral:lncRNA from 1 species
GAAGAAAGUGGCUGUCCUGCCCUGCAGUGACAGCACCAUGGCACCUGUGAGUGUGGCCGGCCAGGCAGAGGUUGGGAAGACUGAUGUCUGCACCAUCACAGACAGAGAGGACAGCAGCAGCCAUCACCACGAAGGAACCACCAAGCCAGCGGGAGUUGUGGGCAGUGACUGAUGUUAGCAAGUCCAAGGCUGGACUGGGCAACGGAGCCUCAUGGAUGCUACCCACACUCUUCCCUCCCAGGUGUCUCCUUGUUAGCCUGUGGAUCCCUGUCCUUGUUUCUGGUGAGUUCUGAUUGUUACUCUGCAGCCCUCAGACUCUUGUUGCUGGAUUCCAGACAGGAAAUGGACAC